AUGCCUGGUGGGGACCACAAACCACCUUGGGGUUUCAUCUCUUUUUGUAAUCGUAGACCAUGGAAAUGCUAGAGUCUGGAUGUGUGUCCUCUCGUCCAGCUGCGGGGUGAGGCGGUGGGGGCCUCAGGCCAUGCAGCAGCUUUAUACAGGUCAGGUGAAGGUGGCCCAUCCACCCGUCAGAGCCAAGAGACGUGCAGACCUACAAUGCCCGCACUGUGGACGAUGCCCUGAGCUGCAGGCCCUCGGGCAGCACAUAGAGGGCAUUUGACACGGGCACGGGGCUUCUGGGGAAGGCCAGGAGAACUCUGAACUUGGUUUUAUUUCAAGGCUAUUUGGACAAUUUCAACAGGGAACAGAGGAGAGACACCCCCGUGUCCCCUCAAAUUCACAUGUUGGAGCCUGAUCCCCAGUGGGAUGCUGCUGAGGCCUCUGGGACGAGACUAGGGUUACGGGAGGUCAUGAGGGCAGGGCCUCACUCACCCAGAGCAGACAGCCUCCAACAUCCUGUGAGACACGUCUUUUCUCUGCCAGACCCUCUCGUCGAGCUGCCCAUGUCGGGGCCGUGAGCCAAGCUCCCCCUCAUCUGCCCACCUCCCACCUGGAGCCUCUUCUCCCCCUUGUAGCAAAGAUAAAGGCCUCUGGCCCAGCCCGGCGGUGCUGGCAACUGUGUCAACAGGGAGUCAGAGAUUCUCAGGAAGACGCUUCCUCGUCAGGCGGUGGACACAUUCCAAGUGUACCAAGAGUGCACAACAGGGCAAGAUUAGAUCCCUUUCUACCAAGAUGGAUUGUAAUCUGCCCCCGCUCAUGCGAGAAGAACAGCAGGUUUCCACGAGGUCACCGACCCCUUUGCUGAUGCUGGAGAAUCCAGAAGGCCUCUUGCCUGGAUCCACCUUAAAAUGGUGGGGUCUGGGUGGUGGGGAAAGAAGGUCUCAGGUUUUUUUAGUGACAAGCCCAAAGGCUCGCAGAGGGAGGCCCAAGGUCACAGGACACAGGACAGAGCCCACAACACAGGCCGUUCUGGCCCCAGAUGUGAGGACCCGCCCCUGAGGAAAGCUCCACCCGGCCUCACUGGGCCGUGGACCUGGGCCCCGGUGGUCGCUGCACUCACUGUAGUGCCUCUGGGGCUGGGAGCACCGGCCGUCUUUAAUAAAGGAAUUUUCUCUGUCCUGAGGCUAUACAAACUGGCUGCUAAUCCACGAAAACUGUCAGCUUCCCUUGGUGACUCAGGAGGUCAGCCUGCUGUGCUCGCAGUGGCCACUUUAUCUCUGCUCUUCGUUCUUAAUAAACUC